UUCAAAUCAAGAAAACUCCAAGUCGAAUUAAAAUCAUCCAUCAUAUAACAUCACAUAAUACAUUUCCCAGGUUUACAUAACACAAUAACUAUCUCAUGAAUACAUUUCCUUGCAAACUGGGUAUUGAGUGCCCUCAGGUGCUUGCAAGCAGUGUCGGUCCGUUCAGGGUCUAGAGCACCAGCUCCUGUAUGGGGAGACCCUGCCCUGUGAAAGUCCAUUACUCUCUUGCUUGAUAGCUGCAAGAAAUGUGCAAUGAAUUAAUAGAGGCGGAUUUUACAGCAAGAAAAAUC
rnacentral:lncRNA from 1 species